GUCCCCGCCCGCCGGCUCUCCGCGGAGCUCAGGAUCUCACCGCCCGCGAGCGCCGCGCUCCCUCGCCUCCACCUCGGAACCGAGGAGCCGGGGAUCAUGGACCAAAGCCCGCCGUUCUGUCACCAUGACGCUUGUCCGCCUUGUGGCGGUUCUGGUCUUAGGGGCGCUCCCCGAAGUGGUCAGUUUUGAUCCGGUGCUCAGUUACCCGCCCCACCAACGCCAUCGCGGCUCACCCGCUCCGAGUUCCCGGCACCCUCACUCCCUUUCCACGCCGCAGCGGCACCAGAGGACGCCUCCGCCGGCCGCCCUCCCGCGCGUCCCGCGCCCCCCGCCCGCGCUCCCCGCCCGGCGCCUGGCCGCCUUCCACGCGGGGCACCGGCCGGGGCCGCUCCCCGGCGGCUGCCCCGCCGGCGAGCCCUGGGUCGACGUGACGGACUUCGGCGCCCCUAGUCUGCGCUGGGCGGAGGUGCCACCCUUCCUCGAGCGGUCGCCCCCGACGAGCUGGGCUCAGCUGCGAGGGCAGGGCCACAACUUUUGCCGGAGCCCGGACGGCGCGGGCAGACCCUGGUGCUUCUACGGCGGCGCGCACCGCAGGGUGGACUGGGGCUACUGCGACUGCAGGCACGGUAAUGUGAAUGGCAUGAAGAGGAAAGAAUGGGAAAACAAAUCAGUGGGAAUAGAAGUGGAGAGAAAAACUCAGCACCUUAGUCUUCAAGUACCAUUACGCUCUCAUAGCUCCUCCUCUUCCUCAGAAGAGAACAGUAGCUCUAGUGCUGUGCAGCCUUUAUUGGCUGGUGAGAAGGAGAGUCCCUCUUCUGUUGCUGAUGACCACCCGGUCCAGAAGGAAUUCUUGCAUGCUACAAAAAGAGAUGAUGGCCAUGUAAGAAAUUUCAGGAAAUAGCCCUGUGUCUCCUAAUACUCAGGAUAAGUCAGUAGGUCAAUCUCCUCUGAGAUCUCCCUUGAAACGACAAGCCUCUGUAUGUUCCACUCGACUUGGAAGUACCAAGAGCCUUACUGCUGCUUUGUACGGGGACAAGCAGCCUGUUACAGUUUGAGUCCAGUUCAGUAGUGAUGUCUCUUGAACUGAUGAGAACGUACUAGAUUCACCAAAGCAGAGAAGAAGUUUUGGUUCAUCCCCAUACACACCAUCAGCAGACUCUAAUUCCUUUCAUCAAUAUCGAUCAAUGGAUUCCAGCAUGUCAAUGGCUGAUAGCAAAGCCUACUUUUCUGCAGCUGAAGAAUUUGAACCCAUAAGCAGUGAUGAAGGCCCUGGAACUUACCCAGGUAGAAAAAAGAAGAAGAAACAAACCCAGCAGGUUGACUACAGUAGGGGUUCCAUAUAUCGCAGUGUUGAAGGACCACUUACUGGCCACGGAGAAAGCAUUCAGGAUCCCCGAACUCUGCCGUUCAAAACACAUCCUUCCCAGGCUUCAUUUGUUUCUGCGUUAGGUGGAGAAGAUAAAGUUACAGAGCAGUUGUAUAUUAUAGAAGUUGAGAAGACAGUAGAGAGUGAACCCAUUACUUCUCAACAACCUGUGAUGAAUUGUUUUCAGACUUACCUUACUCAGUUCCAGAGGUACUAUGUCACAAUGAGCACAUUUGAGCAUGUUCCUUGGAACAUAACCAGUGGAAGAUAAACGAAUGUUGGGCUUCAGCUGGAGCAGAGCCUUCCAAAGAAAUAAAGUGACUAGUUACUCCUGAGAGGACUGGAAUUUGCUGGACUGUUGGCCAAAUGAAUGUUGAGGAGAUUGCCUCUGUGUGUCUGUGUACACGCUCAAAUCUUGACUCUAGUUCUGAUGAAAGAAGAAGGAAGAUGAAUGUAGGACCACCAACCUCAAUACAGCAGGCACCAAGGAUUGAAGAGAAGACAUCGCUAUUCGUGAAUUCCUGCGUGGGUGUAUGUGUGUGGUGGCAGGUGAGGGUGAGGCAAAGAGGAGGACAGCUAACUGCUGACACCACGGUCCCCGUUGACGCUAAGGUGAUGAGGGGCCAAAGCCUCUCACAGACUUUUCCUGAUUAUUCCCACGCUGCCAUGAUGAAAACUUAUGUCCUGGAUGAGGUUUCAGGCAGUCUCACUCUAAGAUCCCAGUCUUGUUCCCAAUCUCAGAGGAAAAGCUCUCAGCUUCUCACUGUUCAGUAUGAUGUUGGCUGUGGGUUUAUCAUAUAUGGCCUUUAUUAUGUUGAGCUAUUUGCCCUCUAUACCCAUUUUGCUGACAGUUUUUAUCAUGAAUGGAUGUUGAAUUUUGUCAAAUGCUGUUUCAGAAUCUAUGGAGAUGAUCAUGUGGUUUUUGUCCUUAUUGUUGAUGCGGUGGAUGAUGUUGAUGGAUUUUCAAAUGUUGUACCAUCCUUGCACCCCUGGGAUGAAUCUCACUUGGUCAUGGUGAGUGAUCCUCUUGAUGUAGUUUUGAAAUCGGUUUGCUAAUAUUUUGUUGAGUAUUUUUGCAUCUACGUUCAUCAGGGAUAUUGGUCUGUAGUUUUCUUUUUUGGUGGGGUCUUUGCCUGGUUUUGGUUUUAGGGUGAUGUUGGCUUCAUAGAAUGAGUUUGGGAGUAUUCCCUCCUCUUCUAUGUUUUGGGAAACUUUAAGGAGAAUGGGUGUUAUGUCUUCUCUGUAUGUUUGAUAAAAUUCUGAGGUAAAUCCAUCUGGCCUGGGGGUUUUGUUCUUGUGAAGUUUUUUGUUACCUAUUCAAUUUCAUUGCUGGUAAUUCAUCUGUUUAGAUUUUCUGUUUCUUUAUGGGUCAGUCUUGGAAGGUUGUAUUUUUCUAAGAAGUUGUCCAUUUCUCCUAGGUUUUCCAGCUUGUUAGCAUAUAGGUUUUCAUAGUAUUCUCUAAUAAUUCUUUGUAUUUCUGUGGGGUCCGUCGUGAUUUUUCCUUUCUCGUUUCUAAUUCUGUUGAUGUGUGUUGACCCUCUUUUUCUCUUAAUAAGUCUGGCUAGAGGCUUAUCUAUUUUGUUUAUUUUCUCAAAGAAACCAGCUCUUGGUUUCAUUGAUUUUUUGCUAUUGUUUUAUUCUUCUCAAUUUUAUUUAUUUCUUCUCUGAUCUUUAUUAUGUCCCUCCGUCUGUUGACCUUAGGCCUCAUUUGUUCUUCUUUUUCCAAUUUCGAUAAUUGUGACAUUACACUAUUCAUUUGGGAUUGUUCUUCCUUCUUUAAUAUGCUUGGAUUGCUAUAUACUAUCCUCUUAAGACUGCUUUCGCUGUGUCCCACAGAAGUUGGGGCUUUGUGUUAUUAUUCUCAUUUGUUUCCAUAUAUUGCUGGAUCUCCAUUUUAAUUUGGUGAUUGAUCCAUUGAUUAUUUAGGAGCAUGUUGUUAAGCCUCCAAGUGUUUGUGAGCCUUUUUGCUUUCUUUGUACAAUUUAUUUCUAGUUUUAUACCUUUGUGGUCUGAAAAGUUGGUUGGUAGGAUUUCAAUCUUUUGGAAUUUACUGAGGUUCUUUUUGUGGCCUAGUAUGUGGUCUAUUCUGGAGAAAGUUCCAUGUGCACUUGAGAAGAAUGUGUAUCCUGUUGCUUUUGGAUGUAUAGUUCAAUAGAUGUCUAUUAGGUCCAUCUGUUCUAGCAUGUUGUUCAGUGCCUCUGUGUCCUUACUUAUUUUCUGUCUGGUGGAUCUGUCCUUUGGGGUAAGUGGUGUGUUAAAGUCUCCCAAAAUGAAUGCAUUGCAUUCUAUUUCCUCCUUUAAUUCUGUUAGUAUUUGUUUCACAUAUAUUGGUGCUCCUGUAUUGGGUGCAUAUAUGUUUAUAAUGGUUAUAUCCUCUUGCUGGACUGAGCCCUUUAUCAUUAUGUAAUGUCCUUCUUUAUCUCUUGUUACUUUCUUUAUUUUGAGGUCUAUUUUGUCUGAUACUAGUAUUGCAACACGUGCUUUUUUCUCUCUGUUGUUUGCAUGAAACAUCUUUCUCCAACCCUUGACUUUUAAUCUGUGCAUGUCUUUGGGUUUGAGGUGAGUCUCUUGUAAGCAGCAUAUAGAUGGGUCUUGCUUUUUUAUCCAUUCUGUUACUCUGUGUCUUUUAAUUGGUGCAUUCAGUCCAUUUACAUUUAGGGUGAUAAUUGAAAGAUAUGUACUUAUUGCCAUUGCAGGCUUUAGAUUUGUGGUUACCAAAGGUUCAAGGUUAGCUUGUUUACUACCUUACUGUCAGACCUCACUCACUUAUUGAGCUGUUAUAAACACAGUCUGAUGAUUAUUUCUUUCCCUUCUUUUUCCUCCUCCUCCAUUCUUCAUAUGUUGGGUGUUUUGUUCUGUGCUCUUUUUAGGAGUGCUCCCAUCUAGAGCAGUCCCUCUAAGAUACCCUGUAGAGGUGGUUUCUGGGAGGCAAAUUCCCUCAACUUUUGCUUGUCUGGGAAUUGUUUAGUCCCUCCUUCAUAUUUAAAUGAUAAUCGUGCUGGAUACAGUAUCCUUGGUUCAAGGCCCUUCUGUUUCAUUGCAUUAAAUAUAUCAUGCCAUUCUCUUCUGGCCUGUAAUGUUUCUGUUGAGAAGUCUGAUGAUAGCCUGAUGGGUUUUCCUUUGUA